rnacentral:rRNA from 1 species
GACGAACGCUGGCGGCGUGCUUAACACAUGCAAGUCGAACGGAAAGGCCCCUUUGGGGGUCCUCGAGUGGCGCACGGGUGAGUAACACGUGAGUAACCUGCCCUUGACUUCGGGAUAACUUCAGGAAACUGGGGCUAAUACCGGAUAGGAAUCCUUGCUGCAUGGUGGGGGUUGGAAAGCUUCGGCGGUUUUGGAUGGACUCGCGGCUUAUCAGCUUGUUGGUGGGGUAGUGGCUUACCAAGGCUUUGACGGGUAGCCGGCCUGAGAGGGCGACCGGCCACAUUGGGACUGAGAUACGGCCCAGACUCCUACGGGAGGCAGCAGUGGGGAAUAUUGCACAAUGGGCGGAAGCCUGAUGCAGCAACGCCGCGUGCGGGAGGACGGCCUUCGGGUUGUAAACCGCUUUCAGCAGGGGCGAAGCUUGUGGUGACGGUACCUGCAGAAGAAGCACCGGCUAACUACGUG